GUGCUUGCUUUGGCAGCAUAUAUACUAAAAUUGGAACAAUACAGAGAAGAUUACCAUG
rnacentral:snRNA from 10 species